rnacentral:rRNA from 1 species
AUUGAACGCUGGCGGCAUGCCUUACACAUGCAAGUCGAACGGCAGCGCGGGGCAACCUGGCGGCGAGUGGCGAACGGGUGAGUAACAUAUCGGAACAUACCCUAGAGUGGGGAUAACGUAGCGAAAGUUACGCUAAUACCGCAUACGCACUAAGGUGGAAAGUGGGGGAUUCGCAAGAACCUCAUGCUCAUGGAGUGGCCGAUAUCUGAUUAGCUAGUUGGUGAGGUAAAGGCUCACCAAGGCGACGAUCAGUAGCUGGUUUGAGAGUACGACCAGCCACACUGGAACUGAGACACGGUCCAGACUCCUACGGGAGGCAGCAGUGGGGAAUUUUGGACAAUGGGGGCAACCCUGAUCCAGCAAUGCCGC